rnacentral:rRNA from 1 species
UGAGGAAUAUUGGUCAAUGGGCGCGAGCCUGAACCAGCCAAGUAGCGUGAAGGAAGACGGCCCUACGGGUUGUAAACUUCUUUUAUACGGGAAUAAGACCGUCCACGAGUGGAUGCGUGCAUGUACCGUAUGAAUAAGCAUCGGCUAACUCCGUGCCAGCAGCCGCGGUAAUACGGAGGAUGCGAGCGUUAUCCGGAUUUAUUGGGUUUAAAGGGAGCGUAGACGGGUCCUUAAGUCAGUUGUGAAAGUUUGCGGCUCAACCGUAGAAUUGCAGUUGAAACUGGGGGCCUUGAGUGCGGCAUAGGCAGGCGGAAUUCGUGGUGUAGCGGUGAAAUGCAUAGAUAUCACGAAGAACUCCGAUUGCGAAGGCAGCCUGCUGGACCGUAACUGACGUUGAUGC